UACAGAGGGUGCAAGCGUUAAUCGGAAUUACUGGGCGUAAAGCGCGCGUAGGUGGUUUGUUAAGUUGAAUGUGAAAUCCCCGGGCUCAACCUGGGAACUGCAUGCAAAACUGGCAAGCUAGAGUAUGGUAGAGGGUGGUGGAAUUUCCUGUGUAGCGGCGAAAUGCGUAGAUAUAGGAAGGAACACCAGUGGCGAAGGCGACCACCUGGACUGAUACUGACACUGAGGUGCGAAAGCGUGGGGAGCAAACAGG
rnacentral:rRNA from 1 species